ACCCGCUGAACUUAAGCAUAUCAAUAAGCGGAGGAAAAGAAACCAACAGGGAUUGCCUCAGUAACGGCGAGUGAAGCGGCAACAGCUCAAAUUUGAAAUCUGGCCUUUGGUCCGAGUUGUAAUUUGUAGAGGAUGUUUCGAGCAUGGUCCGGUCUAAGUUCCUUGGAACAGGACGUCAUAGAGGGUGAGAAUCCCGUAUGCGACUGGGUGCCUAAGCUUAUGUGAAACUCCUUCAAUGAGUCGAGUUGUUUGGGAAUGCAGCUCUAAAUGGGUGGUAAAUUUCAUCUAAAGCUAAAUAUUGGCCAGAGACCGAUAGCGCACAAGUAGAGUGAUCGAAAGAUGAAAAGCACUUUGGAAAGAGAGUUAAACAGUACGUGAAAUUGUUGAAAGGGAAGCGCUUGCAACCAGACUUGCAUGCAGUUAAUCAUCCGGUGUUCUCACCGGUGCACUUGAUUGUAUUCAGGCCAGCAUCGGUUUCAGUGGUUGGAUAAAGGCCUUGGGAAUGUAGCUUCUUUCGGGGAGUGUUAUAGCCCUCGGUGUAAUGCAGCCUACUGGGACCGAGGACCGCGCUUCGGCUAGGAUGCUGGCGUAAUGGUUGUAAGCGACCCGUCUUGAAACACGG
rnacentral:rRNA from 1 species